GUAUAACUUCGGUUGAUCCUGCCGAAGGCUACUGCUAUUGGAGUUCGAUUAAGCCAUGCGAGUCUAAGGGGUACUUGUACCCCUGGCGGAAUGCUCAGUAACACGUGGACAAUCUGCCCUCGGGUGGGGAAUAAACCCGCGAAAGUGGGGCUAAUACCCCAUAGGUACAGAAGGCUGGAAUGCAUCUGUGCCCAAAGCUCCGGCGCCCGAGGAUGAGUCUGCGGCCUAUCAGGUAGUAGUCAGGGUCAGGACCUGACUAGCCAACGACGGGUACGGGCCUUGAGAGAGGUUGCCCGGAGAUGGACUCUGAGACACGAGUCCAGGCCCUACGGGGCGCAGCAGGCGCGAAAACUUCGCAAUGCAGGAAACUGUGACGAGGGAACUCCAAGUGUCUAUGCAAUGCAUAGACUGUUUGUCAGCCUAAAAAGCUGUCAAAGAAAGGGGUGGGAAAGACCGGUGCCAGCCGCCGCGGUAACACCGGCACCUCAAGUGGUAGCCACUAUUAUUGGGCCUAAAGCGUUCGUAGCCGGCUUGGUAAAUUCCUGGGCAAAUCGUACCGCUCAACGGUGCGGAUUCCGGGGAGACUGCCAGGCUUGAGACCGGGGGAGAUCAGAGGUACUUGCGGGGGAGCGGUGAAAUGUUGUAAUCCCACAGGGACCACCAAUGGCGAAGGCAUCUGAUCAAAACGGCUCUGACGGUGAGGGACGAAACCCUGGGGCGCAAACGGGAUUAGAUACCCCGGUAGUCC
rnacentral:rRNA from 1 species